GGGGCCGACCUGGAAUCGACCGGACAGGGAAGGUGCGUCGUUGCGCGUCGUGGAGCAUCCUGGCCACGUAAAAAGGAUGCAAACCAUAACUGCCAACCCGCAGUACGCUCUCGCGGCCUAAUAUCGUCGCGCAAUCCAUCUCCAGAUGCCUGAUACGGAGAUGGAUUGAAAAACAUCAGGCUGGUUUCAAAGGGCUGGCAUGCCCUGGAGAAACGAGAAAUUCGCAUGCCUGGAUUUCACUGCGUGCUGUCGCCCGCAUUGGUGGAAUCGAGAUUCAAGUGGCGACUACACGUGUAGACGCGGCGCGCUGACUGUAUCGGCACGGGGGUUCGAAUCCCCCCGGCUCCACUG
rnacentral:tmRNA from 1 species